rnacentral:rRNA from 1 species
GGAAGUAAAAGUCGUAACAAGGUCUCCGUAGGUGAACCUGCGGAGGGAUCAUUACACAAAUUAAAAUAUGAAGGCUUCGGCUGGAUUAUUUUUAUCACCCUUGUCUUUUGCGCACUUGUUGUUUCCUGGGCGGGUUCGCCCGCCACCAGGACCACACCAUAAACCUUUUUUUAUGCAGUUGCAAUCAGCGUCAGUAUAACAAAUGUAAAUCAUUUACAACUUUCAACAACGGAUCUCUUGGUUCUGGCAUCGAUGAAGAACGCAGCGAAAUGCGAUACGUAGUGUGAAUUGCAGAAUUCAGUGAAUCAUCGAAUCUUUGAACGCACAUUGCGCCCUUUGGUAUUCCAAAGGGCAUGCCUGUUCGAGCGUCAUUUGUACCCUCAAGCUUUGCUUGGUGUUGGGCGUCUUUUGUCUUUGGCCUCGCCCAAAGACUCGCCUUAAAACGAUUGGCAGCCGGCCUACUGGUUUCGCAGCGCAGCACAUUUUUGCGCUUGCAAUCAGCAAAAAGGACGGCAAUCCAUCAAGACUACAUUUUUACGUUUGACCUCGGAUCAGGUAGGGAUACCCGCUGAACUUAAGCAUAUCAAUAAGCGGAGGA